rnacentral:rRNA from 1 species
UACAGAGGGUGCAAGCGUUAAUCGGAAUUACUGGGCGUAAAGCGUGCGUAGACGGUUAUGUAAGUCGGGUGUGAAAGCCCCGGGCUCAACCUGGGAAUUGCAUUCGAGACUGCAUAGCUAGGGUGCGGAAGAGGGAAGCGGAAUUUCCGGUGUAGCGGUGAAAUGCGUAGAUAUCGGAAGGAACAUCAGUGGCGAAAGCGACUUCCUGGACCAGUACCGACGUUCAGGCACGAAAGCGUGGGGAGCAAACAGG